GAGACAAUUUGAGGAAAAGGUCAUUUUUUAUAAUUCAAAAAGAACCAGUAAUAAGGCUUAUACACUUUGCUUCCUUUAAUUUAUAAGAUUUUCACAGUACUAGCAUUCACAUCUACUUUACCAAAGGUAUAAUAUACAUACAAUAUAUUUAUAUAUGUAUAUGUAU